CCCUUAGAUGUUCUGGGCCGCACGCGCGCUACACUGAUGCAUUCAACGAGUUUUUCCUGGUCCGAGAGGAAUGGGUAACCUUUUGAAAGUGCAUCGUGCUAGGGAUAGACUAUUGCAAUUAUUGGUCUUCAACGAGGAAUUCCUAGUAGACGUAGUUCAUCAGACUGCAUCGAUUACGUCCCUGCCCUUUGUACACACCGCCCGUCGCUCCUACCGAUUGGAUGGUUUAGUGAGGCCCUCGGAUCGGCCCCGCCGGGGUCGGCCCACGGCCCUGGCGGAGCGCUGAGAAGACGGUCGAACUUGACUAUCUAGAGGAAGUAAAAGUCGUAACA
rnacentral:rRNA from 1 species